GACGAACGCUGGCGGCGUGCUUAACACAUGCAAGUCGAACGGAAAGGCCCUGCUUUUGUGGGGUGCUCGAGUGGCGAACGGGUGAGUAACACGUGAGUAACCUGCCCUUGACUUUGGGAUAACUUCAGGAAACUGGGGCUAAUACCGGAUAGGAGCUCCUGCUGCAUGGUGGGGGUUGGAAAGUUUCGGCGGUUGGGGAUGGACUCGCGGCUUAUCAGCUUGUUGGUGGGGUAGUGGCUUACCAAGGCUUUGACGGGUAGCCGGCCUGAGAGGGUGACCGGCCACAUUGGGACUGAGAUACGGCCCGGACUCCUACGGGAGGCAGCAGUGGGGAAUAUUGCACAAUGGGCGGAAGCCUGAUGCAGCAACGCCGCGUGCGGGAUGACGGCCUUCGGGUUGUAAACCGCUUUCGCCUGUGACGAAGCGUGAGUGACGGUAAUGGGUAAAGAAGCACCGGCUAACUACGUGCCAGCAGCCGCGGUGAUACGUAGGGUGCGAGCGUUGUCCAGAUUUAUUGGGCGUAAAGGGCUCGUAGGUGGUUGAUCGCGUCGGAAGUGUAAUCUUGGGGCUUAACCCUGAGCGUGCUUUCGAUACGGGUUGACUUGAGGAAGGUAGGGGAGAAUGGAAUUCCUGGUGGAGCGGUGGAAUGCGCAGAUAUCAGGAGGAACACCAGUGGCGAAGGCGGUUCUCUGGGCCUUUCCUGACGCUGAGGAGCGAAAGCGUGGGGAGCGAACAGGCUUAGAUACCCUGGUAGUCCACGCUGUAAACGGUGGGUACUAGGUGUGGGGUCCAUUCCACGGGUUCCGUGCCGUAGCUAACGCUUUAAGUACCCCGCCUGGGGAGUACGGCCGCAAGGCUAAAACUCAAAGGAAUUGACGGGGCCCCGCACAAGCGGCGGAGCAUGCGGAUUAAUUCGAUGCAACGCGUAGAACCUUACCUGGGUUUGACAUGGAUCGGGAGUGCUCAGAGAUGGGUGUGCCUCUUUUGGGGUCGGUUCACAGGUGGUGCAUGGCUGUCGUCAGCACGUGUCGUGAGAUGUUGGGUUAAGUCCCGCAACGAGCGCAACCCUUGUUCACUGUUGCCAGCACGUUAUGGUGGGGACUCAGUGGAGACCGCCGGGGUCAACUCGGAGGAAGGUGGGGAUGACGCCAAGUCAUCAUGCCCCUUAUGUCCAGGGCUUCACGCAUGCUACAAUGGCUGGUACAGAGAGUGGCGAGCCUGUGAGGGUGAGCGAAUCUCGGAAAGCCGGUCUCAGUUCGGAUUGGGGUCUGCAACUCGACCUCAUGAAGUCGGAGUCGCUAGUAAUCGCAGAUCAGCAACGCUGCGGUGAAAAGGUUCCCUGGGCU
rnacentral:rRNA from 1 species